rnacentral:rRNA from 1 species
UGGGGAAUAUUGCACAAUGGAGGAAACUCUGAUGCAGCGACGCCGCGUGAGUGAAGAAGGUCUUCGGAUCGUAAAACUCUGUCCUUGGUGACGAAAAAAAUGACGGUAGCCAAGGAGGAAGCCCCGGCUAACUACGUGCCAGCAGCCGCGGUAAUACGUCGGGGGCGAGCGUUGUCCGGAUUUACUGGGCGUAAAGGGUGAGUAGGCGGUAAUAUGUGUCAGAUGUAAAAGGCUAUGGCUUAACCAUAGUUAGCAUUUGAAACUGUAUUACUUGAGUGCAGGAGAGGUAAGGGGAAUUCCUAGUGUAGCGGUGAAAUGCGUAGAUAUCACGAGGAACGCCGAUAGCGAAGGCAGCGCGCCGGGCCGCGAUCGACGCUGAGGCACGAAAGCGUGGGGAUCAAACA